rnacentral:SRP_RNA from 1 species
GACCCUGUUAUGACGCUGUGCUUUGGCUUGUCCAUUUCAAAUUAGGGGUCAACACUGGCAGUGAAGCGCAAGCUACGCUGUCAGGGUUGUCAAAGAAGCUGGGAACGCCCGAGGCUGGUAACAGAGCAGGGAAAACAGCUCGCCUUUAAUAGUGGAAGGAUAACAAGCCUUUAUAGC